AAAUCUAAAUGAAUCUGAACUGUCUGAGCUUGUUACCACAGAAACAAACUUGAAGCAUUAAGGCAGCGAUGAGUCAGGGUUGUUUUCGCCUGGUAGUCGGGGCACACCUUAAUCCCCUGCAGACCUGCAUCCUUGUCGAAAUGUCAGCCUGAAGUGUGUGUCUCCGCCGUUCACAUCCACACAUUAACAACCUGAAUGAACUUGUUAUUCGUCGAUCUCCUUUCUUGCUCUUCUCAGGCCUUGCUUUCCAGCCGUCGGACUGCCGCAUCCGCUCCCUGCGCGGCGCUGCAUGGCAACGGGAGGAGGAGGCUGUGCGGGAUAAGGGAGGGUACCGCGGCCCCACGUGUCCUCCUCGCCGCAGACCCUUCGCAGUUCUGCUCGGUUUCCCAUCCCUCCGUUUCCGCAUACCGCACACACACAUAUACAACUCCAGCCAUACACCCAGCGCCUACUACGCAUCCGCGCAGCGCUGCGGAGCGAUGCAUCCGCGAUGCGCGCUCUCUCGUUCCUCGCCGAUCCCAUCGCCGAUCAGUCUGUAGGCCCGGAUCGAUUAAUUUUUCAUCUUUCUGAUAUGCAAAUCCAGACUCUCCGUGGCAGUGCUGACCGGAGCUGAGAGGGCGAGAGGUAGAGAGGGGGGAGAGAUGAGAGGACGCGCAUCAUCAGAUGUUUAGCAGAUUAACUUUGGAUCCUCGCCAUCAUCUCUGCUGUGCGUUUUUUGAUCUUUUUCCUCCUCUCCACCUGCCGGGCUUCCUGACAUUUGGCGGGGGUUCUCCAUGCGGUAAUCGGAGGGAAUAUGUGAAGAUCAUGCUGGCGGUGUGGUGCUUCAUGGUCUUUGGUGCAGUGGGCGAGAGGCUUGCGGUGUCAGGUGCAGAUAGAGGACUGUGGGACUGGUUUGCCCCCUCAGGCCAGCUGGAUAAUGGGGAAACUGAGAUCACCUAUCCAAAGCGACUGGUGCAGCAGAUCAAGUCAGAGGAGGAAAUGGCUCAUGACUUCUUGGAUACCAGGGUGAAGAACAGCAGUGGGGACAGCUCGCCUGUCCACCUGGCUCUGAGCUGCUUUCAAGUCGAAGCCUUCGGACACACCUUCACUCUUGACCUGGAACUAAACCAUCACCUGCUGUCUUCAGAUUAUGUGGAGAGGCACUUUAACUACAAUGGCAAACCACUUCAGUCUGUGGGAGGAGAGCACUGCUACUACCAAGGAAGACUAAGAGGUUUACCAGCGUCCUGGGCAGCUGUCUCCACUUGUCACGGCCUCUGUGGGAUGUUCUCUGAUGGUUUCUACUCUUAUGGAAUUGAGCCUGUUCACAAUACGAGCUGGAAGGAAGAAGGAGCUCACUUAAUUCGCAGGAUGCCCGAUAUCAGACUUUCCCAGCACUGCCCAGAGUGUACAGAAGACAGUGAGCAGGACAGCAGUGAAAGUGUUGAAGAUGACAGUAGACCAGAGCAAACGGAGGACCAGCAGGUGACCGGGGGGCUGAGAAGAUCCAAGAGGUUUGUCCGCAGGCCUUCUGUCCAGACAGAGACCAAAUACAUUGAGCUCAUGGUGGUAAACGACUAUGAUCUGUUUGUGCAGCUGCGUCGCUCGAGCAGCCAAACCAAAAACUUUGCCAAAGCUGUAGUCAACACAGCAGACACGAUCUUUCAGGAGCAGCUGAACACCAGGAUUGUUUUGGUGGCCAUGGAGACCUGGACCUCGGAGAACCUGAUGCCAGUCGUGGAGGACCCGCUAAUCACGCUGCAGAACUUCAUGAAGUACAGGAAGGACAGCAUCAGGGAGCAGAGCGACGUUGUCCAUCUUUUCUCAGGGCGUACAUUUCACAGUAGCCGCAGUGGGACAGCCUACACAGGAGGGGUGUGUUCUCCAACGAAAGGAGGAGGAAUUAAUGAGUAUGGGAGUGUUGGGGCAAUGGCCAUCACCUUGUGUCAGAGUCUUGGCCAGAACAUCGGGAUGAGAUGGAACAACGCAAGAGCCUCAGCAGGUGACUGCAGAUGCCCAGAUGCCUGGGUGGGCUGCAUAAUGGAAGACACCGGAUUUUAUCUGCCCAGAAAGUUUUCUCGCUGUAGUGUUGACGAGUACAUCCAGUUCUUGCUCCAGGGAGGUGGGAGCUGCCUCUUCAACAAGCCGAAUAAGCUGUUGGACCCUCCAGAGUGUGGAAACGGCUUUGUGGAGCCAGGAGAAGAGUGUGACUGUGGAUCCCAGGUGGAAUGUGCCCGCAGCGGAGGAGCCUGCUGUAAAAAGUGUACUCUUACCCAUGACGCCAUGUGCAGCAAUGGACUCUGCUGCAGUGGCUGUAAAUAUGAGCUGCGAGGUGUUGUCUGUCGAGAGGCCGUGAACGACUGUGAUAUUCCCGAAACCUGCACAGGAGACUCCAGCCAGUGCCCUCAUAAUGUCCACAAGCUGGACGGUUACAUGUGUGACAUCAGCCAGGGACGCUGCUAUGGUGGACGCUGCAGGACUCGCGAUGGACAGUGCAAAGGACUCUGGGGCUAUAAUUCAGCAGACAGGUUCUGUUAUGAGAAGCUGAACGCUGAAGGUACAGAGAAGGGGAACUGUGGUCGGGGGGCUGAAGGGAAAGGCUGGCUGCAGUGCAACAAGCCGGAUGUAUUAUGUGGCUUCCUUUUCUGUGCAAACAUCACAACAAAGCCAAAAUUUGGUGAUCUGCAGGGUGAGGUGACCAGCUUUACCCUGUACCAUCAGAACAAGUACCUGGACUGCAGAGGUGGCCACGCACUGCUAGAGGAUGGCUCCGACAUGGGCUACGUGGAGGACGGCACGCCCUGCGGUCCGAACAUGAUGUGUUUGGAGAGACGCUGCCUCCCUGUCGCAGCGUUUAACCUCAGCACCUGUACAGGAUCUAAACUUGGACACAUUUGCUCUGACCACGGGACCUGCAGCAACGAGGUGAAGUGCAUCUGUGACCGGGACUACACAGGAAAGGACUGCAGCGUUUUCGAUCCGAUCCCUGAGCCCACCGUCUCGACAGGCCCGGAGAAAAAAGUCUGCCAAUGAGACAGAGAAAUUAAGCAGCUGCUCUUUUAGGCCCAAAACUGCCACCCUGAGCAAGAGGGUGUCCAGCUGAGAGAGCAGGAGAGGGGGAAUAAGAACAAAGAACAUUCGAAGAGGAAGAUCUGGAGGAGGAUAAGAUCACUGUCUGUCUCUCUGUUUGUGUCCUGUCCAUGCUUGUAUUCCUCCUCGCACCGUGUCGUUUCCACGUUAAAG